rnacentral:rRNA from 1 species
ACGAACGCUGGCGGCGUGCCUAAUACAUGCAAGUCGAGCGGAAAUUUAUUGGUGCUUGCACCUUAAAUUUAGCGGCGGACGGGUGAGUAACACGUGGGUAACCUACCUUAUAGAUUGGGAUAACUCCGGGAAACCGGGGCUAAUACCGAAUAAUACUUUUUAACACAUGUUUGAAAGUUGAAAGACGGUUUCGGCUGUCACUAUAAGAUGGACCCGCGGCGCAUUAGCUAGUUGGUGAGGUAACGGCUCACCAAGGCAACGAUGCGUAGCCGACCUGAGAGGGUGAUCGGCCACACUGGGACUGAGACACGGCCCAGACUCCUACGGGAGGCAGCAGUAGGGAAUCUUCCACAAUGGACGAAAGUCUGAUGGAGCAACGCCGCGUGAGUGAAGAAGGAUUUCGGUUCGUAAAACUCUGUUGCAAGGGAAGAACAAGUAGCGUAGUAACUGGCGCUACCUUGACGGUACCUUGUUAGAAAGCCACGGCUAACUACGUGCCAGCAGCGGC